UUUGAUGUGAUGGGAAAUCUUCUUUUUGCAUAGUGUCAAAGUUGAAAGUUUUGAGGGAACUAAACAUGGCCUUAGCCUUUGGACCUUGCGAGGGUUGUAGGGUGCGGCGCUAGGUAUUUUAUAGCCCGAAGGCUAGGGUUCGAUGGCGAGCUCCAGGGCGCGGACAGCUGGUGAUCUUCGACGGGCGUGCCUGGGACACGCGGCUGGCAUCCACGCAGCCGUGUGGUGGCGUGGGGAGCUCGCGGCCUGGCGAGGGAGUAGGCAGGAGCGGGUGUCGACAUCCCGUUGCGGAACGGGGUGCCCUCGCCGAUCUGUUUUGCGUCACAGCAUCAUGAAAAAAGGAACGGGUAGCGAGAGAGCGGGGUGGCGUAGAGGAGCGGUGGCGUGCAAAGUUAGAGUUGGGCACCUUAGAUUUUUUUAUGCUAUUGGCGUGUUAGCUUUAGUUUGUAUUUUGGAUUAAAUUCGAAAAUACAAACUCACCUUUGAGAUCUAAAUUAAACUAAAUAAAAUCCAAAUCACUCGUGCAAGUAUGUUUUAAAUUUAAAUGCACAAAUUUAGUUACUAACUUUUGAAUUUAGAGUUAAGAAAGAGGGUUGAUCUUAAGUUUGACAAUGAGUUUAAAUGAUCCACACAUUCAAACAAAAAAUUUUAAAUUUUUGCAAAAACUGACACAAUUAAAAUCACUCAAUUUUGAGCGAUUUGGAGUGCGGAAUGAGAUCAUGUGUAAGACUAUUUCACCAUCAUCUAUUAUUAAGCUUAUAUUUCUAAGAACACACAUAAGAUCUGUGUCAUUGUAAUAUUGAGGAAAUUAAUUUGGGGCCUUGCUAACAAUAUCAGUAACAAGUAAC
rnacentral:lncRNA from 1 species